rnacentral:rRNA from 1 species
UUCGUAGGCGGCCCGAUAAGUCAGAGGUGAAAUCUAACGGCUUAACCGUUAGCCUGCCUUUGAAACUGUCAGGCUUGAGUAUUGGAGAGGAAAGUGGAAUUCUUGGUGUAGCGGUGAAAUGCGUGGAUAUCAAGAGGAACACCCGUGGCGAAAGCGGCUUUCUGGCCAAAUACUGACGCUGAGGAACGAAAGCUAGGGGAGCGAACAGGAUUAGAUACCCUGGUAGUCC